UACGUAGGGUGCAAGCGUUGUCCGGAAUUAUUGGGCGUAAAGAGCUCGUAGGCGGUUUGUCGCGUCUGCCGUGAAAGUCCGGGGCUCAACUCCGGAUCUGCGGUGGGUACGGGCAGACUAGAGUGAUGUAGGGGAGACUGGAAUUCCUGGUGUAGCGGUGGAAUGCGCAGAUAUCAGGAGGAACACCGGUGGCGAAGGCGGUUCUCUGGGCAUUACCUGACGCUGAGGAGCGAAAGCAUGGGGAGCGAACAGG
rnacentral:rRNA from 1 species